CAAUCAGAUAAUGUCUUUAAACAGGGAUAAUUAUUCUAAAAGAAAUGACUCCUAGAUAGUUUUCCCUCCAUCAAAUGUCUUGU
rnacentral:pre_miRNA from 1 species